AGUGAGCGGGAUGAGCUCAAAUUUAAAAUCUGGCUGGUUUACUAGUCCGAAUUGUAGUUUAAAGAAGCGUUUUCGGUGGCAGCCUGGGUAUAAAUCCUUUGGAACAGGGUAUCAUAGAGGGUGAGAAUCCCGUCUUUGACUCAGUGCAUGCUACUAUGUGAUACGUUUUCAAAGAGUCGAGUUGUUUGGGAAUGCAGCUCAAAAUGGGUGGUAAAUUUCAUCUAAAGCUAAAUAUUGGCGAGAGACCGAUAGCGAACAAGUACCGUGAGGGAAAGAUGAAAAGAACUUUGAAAAGAGAGUUAAACAGUGCGUGAAAUUGUUGAAAGGGAAACGCUUGACACCAGUCAUGCGAGCGGAAAAUCAGUCUUUUGCAGUGGGGAGUGUGUGUGGGUUCGGACCGCAAGGCCGGCCUGCGCUUCAUCUCUGCUGUAAGUGAUGCACUUUUUCGUUUGCAGGCCAACAUCAGUUUCUUCUGCUGGACAAAACUCUUGAGAAGGUAGCAGCUUAGGCUGUGUUAUAGCUCUUGAGCGAUACAGUGGAGGAGACUGAGGUUUUCGCAGCGCGUGCUUUCGGGCAAGGCUGAUUGGGUGCUAUGGGAUCGUUCGGUGUACAAUGCAUGCAUUUUGCGCCGUGUCUUUUCUAUACUCGCUCAACUCGGCUCUUCCGCGCUUAGGAUGUUGGCUUAAUGGUUUUAAUCGACCCGUCUUG
rnacentral:rRNA from 1 species